UGCGCCUCAAGGCCGGCUACGCCGCUGUCGUCUCCGAGCACUACCGCUCCCAGACGCGCCCGGCGUCCUUCAAAGCCAUGAUGAAGUUCUUUCUUCCUAAGAAAGCAAGGUGAUUAUGAUACGCUUGAUCGGAGUAAGGGUCAAAUCAGAACAAUGGAGCAGGUGUCACACCGAAUACAUAUGAUGCUAAACUUACUGGGCCUUGGUUGCGGCAGUGAAGAUGUCACACUGAAUACAUAUGAUGGCCAACCUGCUGGGUUUUGGCUGCAGCAGUGUGCAACAAAGUCUCUAUUCUCCCAGAUCUGGCCAAUACAUGCAAGGACUUCUCAAGGAUGAGAAUUAAGUGAGAUAUCCUGGACCAAUGAAGUUUGCAUGUUGCUUCUCUUUUGAUCUUCAGAGAAGUAGAACUUUUUAUGUAAAUUUUAAACUAUAUUAGAAAGUGGACGGUGAAAAGGGUGGAAUGUCUAGUUUCAUGAGCCGGCCCAGCGACGAUAAUGUGGGGUUCUCUUACAUAAUGGACUGAGCCACACUCGGCCCAUACGUGUUUUAUUUAUCAACUAUGGCUCGUUUUUCUUUUAUUUAUUUAUAUUUUUAUUAUUAGUUCUUCCUGCCUAACCCAUUUUCCU